GUAGGUGGCAAGCGUUGUCCGGAAUUAUUGGGCGUAAAGCGCGCGCAGGCGGUUCUUUAAGUCUGAUGUGAAAGCCCACGGCUCAACCGUGGAGGGUCAUUGGAAACUGGAGAACUUGAGUACAGGAGAGGAAAGCGGAAUUCCACGUGUAGCGGUGAAAUGCGUAGAGAUGUGGAGGAACACCAGUGGCGAAGGCGGCUUUCUGGUCUGUAACUGACGCUGAGGCGCGAAAGCGUGGGGAGCAAACAGGAUUAGAUACCCUGGUAGUCCACGCCGUAAACGAUGAGUGCUAAGUGUUAGGGGGUUUCCGCCCCCCUUAGUGCUGCAGCUAACGCAUUAAGCACUCCGCCUGGGAGUACGGCCGCAAGGCUG
rnacentral:rRNA from 1 species